rnacentral:lncRNA from 1 species
AAUUACUCUUAAGCUAGAACCCUCAAUAAUCAAUGCAAGCAAAAGCCACAAGCCAUAACAUAUGAAUAACUGUUUGCCGACUGCGCUGUUCUGCAUAACUCUUUUGUCUACUACUCUGAUACUGCUGCCUCUUCUGCUACCUCUGCUGGUUUGGCCUCGUCUUCUACGGCGGGUGCCGGAGCUGGCUCUUCAGGCGCGGCCUCUUCUGACGCUGGCGGCUCUUCGACCGGGGCCUCCGGCUCUGCGGCAGUCUCCUCGACUGUCGGCUCGACGGCCUCCGUCUCGACUGGCUGAGCUUCUUCUGCAGGCUCGUCAGCCACUGGUUCUGCCUCAGCAGGUGCGGCGGCAGCGGCCGCCUCAGCCGCCGGCUCUUCUGUGGGCUUCUCCUCGACGGCUUCAGCCGCCGGCUCAGCCUCCGCCUCGGGUUCGAUGGCGGCCGGGGCUUCCUCUUUGGGUUCUUCGACUACCGGUGCGGGGGCCUCGGCC